GCACAUAUUCUCGUGAUAUUCAGAGUAUCCAAUGACAAGAUGUAGGUGUCUGACAAAUCCAGAAAAUCACAACAGGUUAAAAUUCAAUUAUAAGAUGAUGACUAGAUGGCCAGUUAUUUCGUACUGCAUUUCUUUCAGACAAAAAAUGCAAAUUAAAAAAAUCACACCUGCUCUAUUCAAAACAGAUUUUUUCAAUUUAGCAUACUACUUCUGGGACAAGUUGUAUCAAAAUUAUAGAAAAGUCUAUCAACAUCAACUCUAACUUAAAAUAGGGAUAAGUUCAUGGUAAGGGAGUAUUCGAUUCAGUUUGACAGCUUCAGACAUACUAAUUUUUUACCUUUUCAAACUGUACCAAAUCACUACUUUGCCACAAAAUUCAUGCCCAAAAUCUUGACAUAUUUACUUUAUUCCCUUACUUACUACUUUAUGCAUAAAAUAAGAAGAAAUAAAUUUGGAAGGGGUAUGAAAUAAAAAUAACGGUCAAUACUUGGGACUGUAUUUCCAGACAACAUAAAUCAAAGGACAAUAACUGUGUCACCAGACAAGAUAUAAAGUCAUUCUGUUCACACAGUAUAACAGUCUGUUCACACAGUAUAACAAUGUGUUCACACAGUAUAACAAUUUGUUCACACAGUAUAACAGUUCUUGAAGAAAAAAAUGAACUUCAUUGAACAUAUUGAAAAAAUAUUUGCAUGCAGAAAAAAGGUGUCAAAAAAUUUAAAGAAUGCUAAAACAAUACAACUAAUCACUGUGAUGACUAACUCUAAAACUAGUAUGGACAAGUAGUGCACACAACAAUUCAAGUCUUAAAUGAUGUUUGAAUGGGUUUACAUGUACACUAGUCAUUUUUGGGGCACUUUAUAACUUGCUGUUUGGUGUCAUACAAAUCUACAAAAAAGCUGAGAAGUUACGCUUAUGUCAUACACAAUUAAAAGUGCUGUUUGCAAUCCUUAAAGCCCCACAGGUAGCAAGAUCACAUGUCAAAAUGUCUAGUCAAAAGUUCCCCAUUCCCAGUCCAAUCCUUUGUCUAAAGGGAAGUAACCAACAACAAAAGAAUAAUACAUCGGUGAUAAGUGAUAAAACAGCUGCUCACUUUGGCCUCUUGAACCAGAUCUGCUGAAAAAGGGAAUUCUACAGAAAACUGUAUUUCAAUCUGGGACUGUUAGUAUAAUAGUCCCAGUUUCAAUGAAAACCCAACAAUACAAAAAAUAAUACAUGUUUUAUUAUUUUCUUGAAAUUUGCUGAGAAGAUAAUGUUACAAUAGCUCACACUAGCCUAUCUGCUGAAAUAGAAAUUCAACAUUUAAAACAGCAAUUAUAAAUACAGUUGAUACCCAGACCAAACCUGAAUCACUAA
rnacentral:lncRNA from 1 species